rnacentral:rRNA from 1 species
GGACUACCAGGGUAUCUAAUCCUGUUUGCUCCCCACGCUUUCGCGCCUCAGCGUCAGUAACGGGCCAGUGUGUCGCCUUCGCCACUGGUGUUCUUCCGAAUAUCUACGAAUUUCACCUCUACACUCGGAGUUCCACACACCUCUCCCGUACUCAAGAUAGCCAGUAUUGAAGGCAGUUCCGAGGUUGAGCCCCGGGCUUUCACCCCCAACUGAACUAUCCGCCUACGCGCCCUUUACGCCCAGUAAUUCCGAGCAACGCUAGCCCCCUUCGUAUUACCGCGGCUGCUGGCAC